UCCCUCGACUCGCCUUCACGCCUUUCUCCUUCGCCUCCUCCCAUCUCUCAUUCGCCUCCCCGUAUCCACGCUCUUUCCUCUUCACCUCUCUCUUUCUCUGUCCGAGACCGUUUCCCUCUCUUACCAAUCCAAGCUUCGUAUACGGUCGCUCCUUUGCUUCCAAUUCCUCUCCCCAAACCCUAGGCCGGUACUCGUCUCGCUCCCGGUCUAGGGUUUAAGCUUGUUCCCUAUCUCGAAUUCUCCGCUAUUCAGGUACUGUCCGGAGCUAAAUCCUCGAUGGUUGAGGUCUCCUGCAAAUAUUAAGUGAAGUUUAGUUGGGGAGUCUAGAGCACCAUGGGUUUUGAUAAUGAGUGUAUUGUGAAUAUUCAAUCACUUCCUGGUGAAUAUUUCUGCCCUGUAUGUCGGACGCUCGUAUAUCCUCAUGAAGCCUUGCAAUCUCAGUGCACCCAUCUGUACUGCAAACCUUGCUUGGCUUAUAUAGUGGCUACUACCCAGGCUUGCCCUUAUGAUGGCUACCUUGUGACUGAAGCUGAUUCAAAGCCUCUGAUGGAAUCGAACAAGUCGCUUGGUGAAACCGUGGGCAAAGUAGCUGUUCACUGCCUCUACUACAGAAGUGGUUGCCAAUGGCAAGGGACUUUGACUGACUGUAUCACACAUUGUACUGGAUGUAGCUUUGGAAACUCUCCUGUUGUUUGCAACCGAUGCGGGACUCAGAUUGUUCACCGCCAAGUACAAGAGCAUGCACAGAUUUGUCCUGGUUUGCAACCUCAGGCACAACAAGCAGAGGUCACUCAGACUCAGGUUUCAACUGUUGUAACUCAAGGAACAGCACAAGAACAACCAAAGGCUGGUUCAACACCUCCUGCUUCAGCCGUGGCAACAACAACAGUAGCUUCAACUGCCAUUCCAACUGCUGCAGCAGCAGGUGCCUCGGGCUCUGUUCCUGCAUCAUCUGCAUCUGCUUCUGCUUCAGCAGCAGUAGCAGCAGCUCCUGCUGCUGUCCCAGUAGCAACUCCUGCUGCUUCUGUUCAGGGCCAAAGCCAGUCUGGAGCAGUUGCCUAUCCUCAAGCUGCUGCUCAGGCUCCUGCUGAGCAGUGGUACCAGCAGCAGUACCAGCAAUACUACCAGCAGUACCCCGGAUAUAAUCCUUACCAGCAGUAUCAACAGUAUGGCCAGUACCUGCAAGCCUAUCAACAAUACAUGCAGCCUCAAAUGCAGGUUGCUCCCCAAGCACAGCCGCAACCUUUUCAACCUCAUAUGCAACAACAUGCCCAGCCCCAACCUCAGCUGCAGCCCAAUCCACAACCCCUGCAACAGCUUCCGCCUACGCAGCCUCAGGCCCAAGCAGUCCCUCAAUUGCAGCCACAACCGCAGACUCAUCCCCAUUCCCAAGCCCCACAUAUUCAGGCGCAGCAACCUCACGUACCUCCCACACAAUUACCAGCACCUCUGCCAUCUCAUCCACAAGUGGCUGGGCAGCAAUUUGGCCAGCCAGUGCCCCAACCACUCCAACCGCAAACUCAGCCUCAUCCCCAAGUACAACCACUACCACAGCAGGUUCAACCUUUGCCUACCCAACAACAUCCACAACUGCCACCUCAGCCACUUGCCCAACCUCCAAUGCAGGGUCAUCCAACCCCACACCCUCCAGCUCUGCUCCAACAGCCACAUCCACAGGCUCAUCCGACUACUCAGCCUCAUCCUCACCCCCAGCCCCAGCUCAUUCCACAGGCACAGCCGCAGCAUCCUGCUGUUCGUGCGGUAACAGGGCAUCAAUCUUAUCCUCAGCCUCAGCCAGCCCAUCCGGUUCCACCAGGUGGCCCUUACCAACGCCCCCCAAUGCAUAUUCCUCCUCAGCACCAGGGCAUUCCUCCUCAACAACAUCCUCAAUUUGCCGCCCAGCAGCUUCCUCCUCAGGCACGCCCUCCCCAAAGCCAAUUUCCCAUGCCAGUCCAACAACAGCAGCCAGCUAUGCUGCCUUCACAAGGACCUCAUGCAAAUAUUCAGCCACCCCAUCAGCAGCCUCAUCAUCCUGUUGGUCAUCAUGCUCCACCGGUGCAACAGCAUCCUGGUAUGCAUCCACAAGUGUUUCCUCCACAGCUUGGUCAGCCAUACCAGCAGGGGAUGGUGCCAUCGCAGCCGCCAAUACAUGCCCAACAACCUGUGCGUCCUCAGGGCCCUCCAUAUAUGCAGCAGCAUGCCCUGGCUCAACCAUAUGCACAGCAGAAUGCACCUCCGCAAGGUCAUGGUUUGCCUUCCCUUCAACCUCAGGCAGCGGCUGCUCGUCCUGCUGUGAUAAUGAACCAUGGCAUGUCACAACAGUCAUUCCAACAUUCUCCGGGUGCCUUGGGCAGGCACCCACCACCUGGUGUUACAAAUCAACAGUCCCCAAUGGGGAACUCCUCUGUGGGGCAGGGCUCUCUAGUGCCUGUGACCCCCACAUCAGAGUCAGGAAAAUCAGACAAAGCUGGAAACAUUCCUUUGAUAGAGAAUGAAAUGGUUUCAAAACAUGCUGAAGGCGCUGAAGCAAGUGAUCCUAAUCUUGCUCGUAACUUGGAGGCUGCAAUAGAUAAAAAAUCAAGCGGAGAGGAUAAAGAGCAGGAAUCCAAUAUAGAGCGUAAUGAUACUUCAGAGUGGAUGCAGGGUAAUGUGAAAGUCUCUGAAUCUGAUAAUGCUGGGACAUUGGGUGUUAAGCCUGUAGUGAAGGAAGAGGUUGCUGACUCACCUCAUGAGGUAACUGCUACUUCAUAUCUUUCAAAGGAUGUCAUGGGGAACAAAGAAAAUAUUUUAGAAGGUAAAUUUAAUGAAAAAGCUGAUCCACAUGCUGUGGGGGAGGAUGCACAAGCUCCAACUCCUGGUGGGUCAGCUCAGAAAACAGAGGAUAUUGCUAGCAACAUGCAGGUUCCCCAACAGAUGCAGCAGCCAUCCAGCGAUAAUAUUGUACUUCCACAGGAAGUAUCAUAUCUCCAGCCCGGUUAUCAUGAUGGUCCUCCACCCCAGUAUGCUCGCCAUGGCCCUGGGCCUGACAUGGCCCGAGGAAUGGCACCGGCAGGACCAAUUCCUUCUCAGGAGAGAUAUCCUCCUCCACCGCAAGUUCCUUUUGGACACCCUUCAAAUAUGCCGAACCCAGCUCAAAGGCCACCUGGACCACCACAUCCUGGCCCCUAUCACAUGCAAGGGCCCCGACCAGAAAUGGUGCCAAAUCAAACAAGACCUCCUGGAAGUAAUAUUCCCGAAACUUUUCCUCAUCAGGUGCAAGCAUCACAAGGACAGCCACCAUAUGGUUCGUUUCACUCUGAUGGACUGGUAAGGGCUCCAGGCCAGGUGCAAGGACAAGGUCAAAUUCUUAUGCCCGUGCCUCACGGUGGAGGCGUAAGACCUUAUGGUGAAGGUAUGGCCCAUCCACCAGUGGGCGGGCCACCACCUCCACCUGUAAUGUUUGAUGCACCCAGAGGGCCACCUUUUCGCCCUGAAGAUCAGGUGGGUCGACUGUACCCUUCUAAUGCUCUGGAAGAAGAAGCAUAUGCUGCUAGGAGGCCUGGGUUUUUUGAUGGCACGCAUCCUGAACCGCCUUUCAUCCAGCCAGGCAUGAAUAAAGUAAAUGGGGUGCCUGAUAAAGGGCCACUUGCUGGUGGGAUGCAUGGUUCUGGUUUUCCAGAUGAAAGGUUCAAGGGGGCAGCAGAUGAACAUCUUAGGCCUUUUCCAGUGGAUCCGGCUAGACGGAAUGUAAAUCGGAGGGAGUUUGAAGAAGAUCUGAAGCAAUUCCCUCGGCCAGCACAUUUGGAUAAUGAAAGUUCGCCAAAUUUUGACAGUUAUAUCUCACCGAGGUCUUUAGAUAGGGGGCACGAACAGUUUGGUCCUAUGAGGCCAUUACAUCCUAAACAUUCUGGUACUUCUUUCCCUGCUGGGGUUUCUGGUUCAGAACCACACCACAUGGAUUUUGGAGAAAGGCAUAGAGCAGUAGGCUUUCAGGAAGAUUUUGGGAGGAAGCCUGAUCCUUCUGAAUUUAAUCGGAAUCGCAUGGAUGGUCUGCCACCUUUAAGAAGUCCUGGUGGAGAAUUUGGUGGCCUCCCACCUAGUAGGUUUGGAUUUGGUAAUCAAUCACGGCUGAAUGACUUUGAUGUCAGAGAGCCGCGCGGAUUUGGUGAAAGAUCAAAGGCUUUUAAUCAUCCAUCUGAUUCAGCAAGCAGUAUGUUCCAUGAUGGAAAUAGAAGAAACAGUCUUGAUGGUUCAGAUGUUCUUCACCCGCCCUUCCACCCAGGUGACUCAUUUGGUUCUCGGAAUUUUCCUAGUACAUUACGGGAUGGAGAUCGAUUUCAUGGGAGUGAGCCAACCGGCUUUGGAGGGUAUAACAACAUAUCAGGGCGCAUGCGCGCAGGUGAUCCAGGUUUUGUCGGUAACUAUUCACGACAUGGUUUUUCUAAUGAAGCUGGACCAUUCAAUCCGGACAUAUAUGACCAUCCGAGGAAGAGAAACCCCGGGAGCAUGGGUUGGUGCCGGAUAUGCAGGAUUGACUGUGAAACUGUCGAGGGUCUAGACAUGCAUUCACAGACAAGGGAGCAUCAGAAGAUGGCAAUGGAUAUGGUUUUGAGCAUUAAGCAAGAGGUUGCAAAGAAGCAAAAGUUGACUUCAGAUGAUGCGAAUAAAUCUAGGAAGGGGAAUUUCGAGAAUCAUGGGAAUGGGCCAUAAGCUGUUUAAAUGACUCUGAGGUACUCUGAGGUUGGUAUGAAAACUGUGGAAACGGCUCUUCCGAACUGUAGCUUUUGUGGGUUGAAGCCAAACUAGUUUCAAAAUUUUGAGUUAUUGUGCAAAACUACAUAUUUGGAUGUCUUUUGUUGUCGUAGCUGCGCAGGUGUUGUCUCCAGCGGCGUUCUACUGAAUUACGUGCAUUAGAUGGGAUGAACAACUUUUUGGAAAGGAAUGAACAAGUCUCUCUCUCAAUCUCUCCUCCUACCUCUCACCCUCAUCAUUCAUUUACAAUUUGCAAAGCAGACCUAAGAAUUUUUAGAGAAAUACCUGCAGAGAGUCCCAAUUUCACGCUACAUGGUUACUUAAGGCUACUUUUUGGUGCUGAUCGUGGUAUCUCCUUGAAAUAAGGUCAGCUGCAUAGUUCUUUUAGGGCCUUCCAUUACUUCUCAUUGGUUAUUUCCAAACUUACGGUGCUCAGUUUAGAUAUUCUAUAUAAUGUACACUUUACGUAUUAAUAUUUUGUUUUUCCUUCGAUUGGAAUGUCAUUUAAACACGAGUACUUCCCUUCAACUUAAUGACCGUUAAUCAAUAGGUAUUUCUUCAUCACCUUAUAUUCUUAAUGAAUCUUUAACUUUCGUUGUUCUCAAAGUUCUGUCUUCUCACAAAUUUAAAACUAAUGGCAUGCUAAUCAGUAGGUAUGCCACAUUAUUGUAAGUUCUUAAUGAGUUUGUGCCUUUCGUUGUGCUAUAAAUUUCCAUAUUUCUUGAAAAUUAAAAUCUUAGCUGUCAAGAUGUAUGACAAACUAUGCUCCAUCAAACUUUGUUGUUACAGUUAGUUUUAGCCUCUCAUCUUGCAUGAUUUGCUUGAUUUGGCCUUAGUUUUGUAGACUUAGACUUUUGUGUUGUGCUUUUCUUCUGCAUUCUCAGUUAUACUGUUACUAGGUAUAAUCUCUCAAUCCCAAAGAUUUUAAAUGUGUAGUCUAUCAAAGAUAGUAUCAAGUCAUCAAAGUCUUUUCUAUUGAUUGAUUUUUUUUUUUCUUGAGUCCAAAAGUUGGUGCCAAUAUCACUAGAUAUCUGGAAUUCCUGUUAGAAAAAGUCAAUUUAAUGGGGCAGUUGCAUUGGACCCAAUCGAGAUAUCUGCCUCAUCCAUUCAGAUCUAGUUUUUAGUUAACUAGAUUGGUAGUUUUGAUAGUCUAUUAAUUUCACAAGAUUUAGUCACUAUUUAUUUGGUUCAACCUAAUACCAGAAUAAUAUUGAGCUAAUAUUAUUCUUUAGAUGUAUAGCUUUAUGUUACAGAGAAGAUGAAAAUAGUUUCUACGUCAUGAGGUCUUCAAUGAACAUUAGAUGUUGGAAUUAACUGCUGUGGUUUUCUUGUCUGACUAGUGCUACUGGAAAGAACAAAGUCUAAAUCUUGUUGUUAACGGCCAAAGAUUGACAUGAACUUGAAUAUUGUGGCAAUAGCCUAGAGCUUGUUUUGCCCUUUACGAUUUUUUGGUAAACUGGUUUUCUAUGCAUUUACUCCUCUGUUUUAACUUUCAUUGUGGUGUUGAUGUAAUUUGAAUUAUUUCUGUCUGUUCUUUCGACUUUGUUUGUUUAAGAUGCUGCUUUGUAUUACUGUAUUUUAUCAGUUCUGUGCUUGGUAACAUCAUUGCUUAACAUGUUUGAUGAGGUUGGACAAUAUUCUGGUCCUUAUCUUAGAGGCGGCGAAAGUCAUGUAUGUUUAGAGAUUUUAGAUACUAAUGUCUUUACACAGACCUAUCUAUUGGACAAGGCCUGAAAACAUACUGAGACUAGAAAACAGAGAACAAAUCUUAAACUUUGUGCGAAAGCAUUUCUUCGGUUUUAGAACAUUGUAUCUGAGCUUCACCAUUGAACAAUUAAGAUUUAGGUCUUUCUAAGUUAAACUGGUUCGUCUCCAUCAGUGCUCGAAAUUGUUUUUGACUAGUUUUUGCAUUCUGUGGUAAGUUACAAGUUCAGGAGUUGUUGGCUAGGAAGCACAGCCUCUUUGUGGGAAAUAAUAAUGCUAUCGAUGUCGUAAACGGUUGUCUCAAAUGCAGGCUGUUAUGAUGUCUUCGCUUUGAUAGACAUUAAUGUUAGCAUACAGGGGGGACAAUAAUGGAAGGGACACAUGUUCUAGAAAUCUUUGGCCCUUCCGCAAAUUAUCUAGUAAGAACAAAAUGAAGUGUCUCUGGCGUUUUGCAGUUUCUUGUGGUAGUCUAACUGUGAACCUUUUGAAUUUAGGUUAGACGACAGAAGCAGCAUGUACUGAUGAUGUAGUGCCAUAUGAUUUUCUUAUUUUAUUAGAAUCAAUAGAUACAAAUUCUGGGUAAACAUUGUGGGUGACAAUUUUUCGAGUCCAAGGCCCUGCACAGCUCUUUUUAUCUUUGAAGCUGACUAUAAAAUAGGUGGAACUAGGAAUCAGGAUAAUUAGCUAUAUAAACUUCUUCCGUAAGAUGCCAUGCCACCAAAAAAUGAAAGAAAAAUACAGCUGAUGAACUGGUUUUUAUUUUUAUUUUUUUUCGUAAGACCAUUUUACUAAUAUAGUAUCAUAUGGUUAGUUCCGGUUAACAACUAUCCUAGGUUAGCUCCAUGUUCGUAUUGGUCUCAUACAUCUUGAUUCUUUAUUAAGUUCCUCUUCCAAUACUUAUAUUUCUAUAUGUAUCUAACCACUGUUUUUUGGUGAUAUAUCUGUUUGACGUUUAACCCAUCUUCUUUCCUGUUUUGUUUUGUUUUUUAGUUUUUUUUUUCAUUUUUUUGGUCUUUCUUGGAGUAUCAGUGACGCUUGGUAUCCUUGCACUUCAAGGGUACCACCGGUGAAGAAAAAUAAUGGGGAACAUAGUUGAGUGAGAUGCUUUUCCGUUCUCUUUUGUUAAUUGUUUCCUUAAUUUCCUAGAGUGUUAGGCAAAUGAGAUACAUGGAUGAUAGAUACAUGGAUGAUGUUGAUCCAUCCAAUCUCUAGAGGAAGAUGUUACUUUCGCCGUGAGAAUUUUUGUUGGAUGUAAAGCACGUUUUGUAUUAUGAAAAUAUUUUAUUUAAACAUUUUGAUAA